CUCCUGAUGGUGUAGUUGGUUCAUCACGUUCGGCUGUAAUUGAGUAAUUGUUACCGAAAGGUCCCUAGUUCGAUUCUGGGUCAGGAGA
rnacentral:tRNA from 1 species